rnacentral:rRNA from 1 species
GACGAACGCUGGCGGCGUGCUUAACACAUGCAAGUCGAACGGAAAGGCCCCUUUGGGGGUACUCGAGUGGCGCACGGGUGAGUAACACGUGAGUAACCUGCCCUUGACUUCGGGAUAACUUCAGGAAACUGGGGCUAAUACCGGAUAGGAAUCCUUGCUGCAUGGUGGGGGUUGGAAAGCUUCGGCGGUGUUGGAUGGACUCGCGGCUUAUCAGCUUGUUGGUGGGGUAGUGGCUUACCAAGGCUUUGACGGGUAGCCGGCCUGAGAGGGCGACCGGCCACAUUGGGACUGAGAUACGGCCCAGACUCCCACGGGAGGCAGCAGUGGGGAAUAUUGCACAAUGGGCGGAAGCCUGAUGCAGCAACGCCGCGUGCGGGAUGACGGCCUUCGGGUUGUAAACCGCGUUCAGCAGGGGCGAAGCUUGUGGUGACGGUACCUGCAGAAGAAGCACCGGCUAACUACGUG